UUCUAAUCACCAAAAUGCGACCAGAACUGGACUCACGGGACCAAGUUGGGGGCAAGUCACUGUUGAUGGACUACACUGCUGAUGGGGACGUCAAAAAAAAAAUCCGAACUACUGUAUACUCCAACAUCGACUGCCGGCUGAAGCGUCAUUCACCACUUCUGCAUCACCAGCUUACAAAAAAAAGGAGCCAAACUUACCACCCGCCACUGGCGUGCACAGUACAGAGGUGCUGAAAUCCAGGUAGCCCCUGAAGCGCUAGCUCCUAUUCCUGGUGGGCUGGAGCCUAUUCCGGCUGACUUCGGACGGUGGAAGGAAGCGGAGUACAUGAAUGGGGAGAACAUCCAAAUUCCACACAGAUACUUUCCGAUGAAGAAUCAAAUCCGGAAUUCCAGACUGUCAUGGUGAUGUGCUGACCACGGUCACUGUAAUGCCCCUGAAUUUCAACAUUCAAUGCAGAUCAAAUUCUAAUAUUUGAAAGUACCUUGUCGUCUCUUAUUUUCACUGAAUACUACGCUGGAUAGUGCCCCAUAGUUGAUCGAGGACAUUUUUACAAAUGCCCAUGCCAAGAAAGUACACUCUUCUCAAGCAUUUAGGCCGCGCUAGGGAUGAGCCGGAUAUUCGUUAUAAAUGAGUAUCAGUUACAGAUAAUGCAUUUUUGCAGAAU